GGGAAUAGAUUUGAAAUUUAAAAAAAAUGAAAAAAAAAGUUACUUCUUUGUUCCCAAAAGCAUUUCUGAAAUCCAAUCAUUUUCUUCUUUAUCUUCUUUUUCUUUUCUUCUUCUUCCUCCUCUAGCUGAUCCCCAAGCUCGGCAGUGGCCCUUGCCGAAGCCUCACUGGCCCUUAGCGAGGCUUCACCUCACCUAGAUCGAGGCUCAAUCCCUUGCAACCUCUCCCGCCCUCAAUCAUGUGCCACUUCAAGCUACAUCAUGCGCUGCCUCGACCUCAUAUCCCAAAUCGAUCUCAAGCACCAAGGAGCCAAGGUGGACUCGAGGGCUUAAAUCAUCCACCGAUGAGCCAAGAUUUGGCUUGCGGCCAAACCAAGCCCUAGUUCUGGUGCUCAUCAUCGUCGCCACCCCACUCACAUAACUGUGGCGUCAACAAGGCAGAAGCGACCGACAACAGGACAACGUCAAUGAAGAGGGAUGAACGAGAGACAGAGCAAGGACACGAUGAGGACAUGGGUUGGAGAAGAGGCGGGAAGGUAGUGAACGGCGUUGACGAGCACUCCAAGACGAUGGAGGUGGUGGCUAGCGGCAGGGGAGGUGGUGCCAAAGCUGGACUUUGAGGCUACGGUUUUCAAAUUCUUUAGAUAAAAAAAGAGAGGUAGGUCAUUUUUAUUGGAACAUGAUUCAUACUCCCAUCAAUAGAGAGGCGCGGGAGUCUCGCUUCCCAAUGAGUGAUGGGGAUCUAGGGGUAAUGCUUCUGGCUACUAAAGGGCUUUUGUAAUUUGAGCUUGUAUUUUAUUAAUAGUUUGAGAUUGAAAUGUAUAUAGCUAUUGCUAUCUAUACAUAAUCUAUUUCUCUUGUAAUUGAGAGUUGCAACAAAAAAGUGUG
rnacentral:lncRNA from 1 species